rnacentral:rRNA from 1 species
UACGUAGGGUGCGAGCGUUGUCCGGAAUUAUUGGGCGUAAAGAGCUCGUAGGCGGUUUGUUGCGUCUGCCGUGAAAGCCCGUGGCUUAACUACGGGUCUGCGGUGGAUACGGGCAGGCUAGAGGCUGGUAGGGGCAAGCGGAAUUCCUGGUGUAGCGGUGAAAUGCGUAGAUAUCAGGAAGAACACCAGUGGCGAAAGCGGCAACCGUGGCUCGAUACUGACGCUCAUGCACGAAAGCGUGGGGAGCAA